rnacentral:misc_RNA from 1 species
GAUGAAGAACGUAGCGAAAUGCGAUAAGUAAUGUGAAUUGCAGAAUCCAGUGAAUCAUCGAAUCUUUGAACGCACAUUGCGCCCGCCAGUAUUCUGGCGGGCAUGCCUGUCCGAGCGUCAUUUCAACCAUCAAGCCCCAGGCUUGUGUUGGGGACCUGCGUCCGACGCAGGCCCUGAAAACCAGUGGCGGGCUCGCUGUCCACACCGAGCGUAGUAACUAACCUCGCUACGGGAGCGGCGCGGGCGCAUGCCGUAAAACCCCCAAUUUUCACAAGGUUGACCUCGGAUCAGGUAGGAAUACCCGCUGAACUUAAGCAUAUCAAUAAGCGGAGGA